CCUGUCGAAACGUGCGUUCAGACAGCAACGUUACACCAGCUAGUUCGGCGGACAAGGCCAAAUGUUCCAGGCUAUCCUCGCGUUAUAGUUAGUCAGCUCGGGUCGGCGUGAUCACGUUGGGUCGUGCCCCAAUUGGGUUUUAUCCCGUUUUCUUGUGUUAUACAUAUAUAUAUAUAAAUAUAAAUGCAGCAACGACGGGGACAUUAAUCUAAAGACAGAGGUUUUGCCUCAUGUUGUAGCCGAGUCGGCAUGCCUCACACACACAGCUAGCCUGGCUAGCAGCCACCAAAAACCACCGUUCCUCUCUCUCGGCCCCUCCGACGCCCGAUUAAAAACCCGACGGAACGUCAAGCGGUCCGGGGAGCAAACACAACAACCCGGCCAAGUGUUCGUGGGCUGACAACGAUCACAAAGGGAACAAGUCGACGACGGGACGCGAGCAUCACAGAGUCGCUGGUCGACAUCAGCCAUGCUAGCUGGAUUUCUUCAGGUGUUCCACCAGAAAGGGAAACUUCUGGCCGUGUUUGCCAGGUGUACAAGUCCAUUACAGCCCCAGGUGAUGGUGAAGUACGGCUUUACUGGAACAAGCGGUCUGAAGGGACAGGCUACAGUUUUUAGUCACUGACGAUGGUGGAACCCCCAGGGCCGAGCCGUGCUGUUGUAUGAUGGGCCAGAACACCGGUGGGAGGGCGAGCUCGGUGGACAGCACUCCCACAACAGGCGGGUGAGGUGGGUGGCUGAAGCGCUCCCCCCUCAUGAAAGGGAAAAGUGGAGGGGAGUGAAGUCGGAGCGAGCUCCGUGAGAUUUCAGAGUCUGAGGCAGCGAGAGGAGGGCAAACAUCCCUAACAUGAGGAGGAGGAGGAGGUCGAGGAGGGAUGUUGCUGUCGGUGCAUGAUGUGACGACGUCCUGUUUGUCUUCAGUCUCGGCUUCCUCCGGUCCCACCUUCCUGCGAUGCGACGUCUCCUCCAGACUGCUGUCUCUGGAGAGCGAGGAGCACUUCUGAUCUUUACGAAACUUUGCCCUCCUGUUCUUGAACCACACCUGCAAGAGAGAGAGAUUAAAGAACUAUAUGGACCCCGGGGACCCACCUGCCAGCCUCUCGGCCACAGAGAGGUUGUGGACCGCGGGCCCCGCGGCGGAGUACGCGUGGUACUGCUCCGCCAUCUGGUGGUGCAGGUCGAACAGCAUGGAGUUGACGCCGUGCAGGUACACACCGCCGCC